rnacentral:ncRNA from 1 species
AUAAAUCUGCCACCGGGUAGAAACGUGUGUAUUAAGCACUCGGAGCACAUCGUUAGGUCUUAGAAGAUGUGCUUGCGGGUGUUUGUUUUU